CCCUACGGGGGGCAGCAGUGGGGGAUAUUGCACAAUGGGGGAAACCCUGAUGCAGCGACGCCGCGUGGGUGAAGAAGCGCCUCGGCGCGUAAAGCCCUGUCAGCAGGGAAGAAAAUGACGGUACCUGAAGAAGAAGCCCCGGCUAACUACGUGCCAGCAGCCGCGGUAAUACGUAGGGGGCAAGCGUUAUCCGGGUUUACUGGGUGUAAAGGGGGCGCAGACGGCGAUGCAAGCCAGGAGUGAAAGCCCGGGGCCCAACCCCGGGACUGCUCUUGGAACUGCGGGGCCGGAGGGCAGGAGGGGCG
rnacentral:rRNA from 1 species